rnacentral:tRNA from 1 species
GGUCGUCGCUAGCUCGUUGGUUAUGAGCAUCCAUCUUGACGAUGGAAGGUUCUGGGUUCGAUUCCCGGGCGGAUCU